GUGGAGUGCCAUGGUCCUUAUUGCUACCUCCGUUCUCCACCGUAGCCGUGAUCUGGACAUGGACCAGUGGAUGUAACUAGUGGAAAACUGGAAAUAUUUUCGUUGGCUCCCUGGCGGUCUCGAAGCGUUCUCCGUCAUCGCUGAAGAUGUCGAGGGCCUUGACAUGAUGCUGGGAGAGAGGAUCUGAAAUUCGGUAGCGGAAGGAAUGCUUUUCUUAUGAAUGGAACCGGAGAGAACGUGCAAGAUCAGAGAGAACGUGGAGGAAGUAGGACAUCAAAAGAAAAUGGCGAAUGACGAAAGGUGGCUGUUCACAAGUCAACAGCAAGCCUGUACUCAUGUCUCAAGCAAUCAUCCUGAUGUCAAGAGGAUGAACUGGUCCCGAUGUGUCCAUGUUGAAUCGCAAGUUCCAAGAGGCUAUAGAGGUGGAGGCCAAAGGCUUUGAAGUUACAGACAGAAUAAAUUUUUGGAGGCCUACAAGCACAAGCACCGCAUCAGGAACGGAAACACUACGGCAGACUUCCAUAAUGUGGGGAAGUAACCUGUGGGUCAUCAAGUGGUCAUCUGGUAACAUUAAGAAGUUGCAACCCGCGGCUUCUUAGGGUUCUACCAUAUGCGCAGUACAUGUACAUGCAUGGAUAGUCACAAAUGACGUGCUGACAUCACCUGAGGUAGACGUGCUAAAGUCGGCAGAGGUAGACAGCCUGAUGUUGGUUGAGGUUGGGAAAAAUACGAGAUGUGUUGGGAGGCGUUCAGCUUCUUUCCCCUCCGAAGAAUGGACAUCAGCAUCACCACUUUAAAUUGAGCUUAAACUGUUAAGAUUCUACAUGUACUGUAUAUACAGUUUUCUUUAUGUAGCACCCCACGUUUUUACCGACCAUUUGUGGACAUUUUCCUACCAACAUCACCGCUCCAUGGAUGGUGCUGUUAUGUUGUUUCUCCAUGAGGACUUGAUGCAGCCCCGGUGUAGAUGCCCAACCAUCCUAUGUGUGUUACCUGUCUCUUGAUGCCAUUGAUACCAGUUCCUAGUGCUACUUUUCUGCAGUGGUCCUUUCUGUGCCAGUGUUGCAUCUCGUGAAUUUUCAAAUGCAGGUAUUGUGUGGCUUCUCAUAGUUUGCUAGCUAUUGAGGGANCAAACAUCAUUGGCUUCCAGAACAGUGCAGUUGAUCAUCUCUGUCAUGUCAUCAAACAGCAGUUUUAGACGCCCUGCAGAUUUCACAUUUAAGGCAGAGAUAGUCACAAAUGCACAAGUCAUGCUGAUGUCGGCAGAGGUAGAUUUGCUGAGGUCGGCAGACAUGCCGAAGUCGGCAGAGGCAGACAAGCUGAUGUUGAUGGAGCGUGGAAGACACCUAGAUGGACAUCGACAGGAGGAGAGACAGACGGAAGUGAGAUGACUAUCCUGAAGGUU
rnacentral:misc_RNA from 1 species